ensembl:snRNA U6 U6 spliceosomal RNA
GUAGGCAGCACAUAUACUAAAACUGGAGUAGUACAGAGAAGAUUAUCAUGGCCCCAUGCAAGGAUGACAAGCAAAUUAGAGAGGUGUUCCAUAUUUUA